CACAAUUUUCUCCGUAGUAUUUUGAGACAUCAUCAUCUUUUCAAAUAAAAGCAAAAGAUUUUCUUUCUCCCCCUGCAGCCUGGAAACCGUCCUUGCUACAAGUGACACAAUGCAAUAACCCGGUUCUCUUGGGGCAGAGGCAAGACAUGGACAUAGUGAUAGCCAUGCUUAUUUCUGUAUGUGCAUUACAAAUCAUGAGUGCACACCAGUACCCAGUAUCCCCAGGUCCAGGCCAGCAUGACAAGGUACUUUGAAAGGUCUGUAUUCCACCACAGGUGUAGUCCACUAAAGCAGGACAGAUUCCACACCAUGUGUGCAUGCUCUGCUCCUCUGGGUCUGUUUGCUGCCUCUCCGACUGCUCUGGGUCUGUUUGCUGCCUCUCCGACUGCUCUGCUAUCUUCAAUAAGAUUUUAAAACUAUAUGGAAGAUUGAGCUGUGACACCAAUGAUCUCAGUGAGCAUGACUGCCGUGAUGGUGGUCCUAUGGGGAACAUUUGCCAACAACUGAGUGACUCAGGUCUGGCUGCAGAGCCAACGUCCUCCAAUAGGCAUGUGAGCUGGAUGCCAGAGGAGACUUCGCUCAGGGACAUCGCACAUUUCUCAUGGAAUGGAGAGCUGAUUCCAACCAGCCACCUCAGCCCUGCUAACUGUUGACUUCUGACUUUCUCUAAAUGAGAAACAUGAAGGCGUGCUUGUAUGUUUUAGACAGGAGGGACAGUUGUGAGCAUUUUUUCAGUGGCUAACUUGCAAUUCAGUCCUUCCUUUGCUUUGGGUGGCUUCAUAUCGAAUGAUGGUUUGAAUGUGCGGGAGCCUUACCUAGGUUAGCGUGCAAUUAUUCACACAUUAUGAAAAAGAUCAAUGUGAAGGAAAUGAAGGGACACAGUGUGGUCAUUAUACCUUUCAUAAUAAACACUGUGCGGCCAGUGUCU
rnacentral:lncRNA from 1 species